rnacentral:rRNA from 1 species
UACGUAGGGACCGAGCGUUGUCCGGAAUCAUUGGGCGUAAAGAGCGUGUAGGCGGCUUGCUAAGUCUUGCGUGAAAUCUCGGGGCUCAACCCCGAAGCGGUCGUGGGAAACUGGCAGGCUAGAGUGCGGGAGAGGAGAAUGGAAUUCCUGGUGUAGCGGUGAAAUGCGCAGAUAUCAGGAAGAACACCCGUGGCGAAGGCGGUUCUCUGGAACGCAACUGACGCUGAGACGCGAAAGCGUGGGGAGCAAACAGG